UUUUCCCUGCCUCCCUCUCUCCCCUGCCCCCCUUCUCAGGCUUAAUGACUUCCACAUGGGCCUCUGGCGGCUGGAGCCAAGCCUCCCAGCAUUGUCUGAAAUCUCCAAAUUUAGAAGAAAUAUGAAAAUUGUCAACCACUCCUUCCUUAGGGGGUAAAAGCAACAUUCUGCACCGGGGGCAGGUCAAGGCGAGGUAGUCACGUGGGGGGCGCCUGGGCCAAUGGGGGGCCCUGGGAGGGCUCAGCACCCACCUCGCCCCAACGCGGGGCUCGCCUCUUCAGCUCAUAUAAGGUAAAAGGCAGAGUGGCCUCUGUGGCCAGGGAGCCGCAGGCAAGGGACUAAGGGGGGGGGGGGCUCAGUGCCAGCUGCUUAAAAAUGCCCCUGUGGCAGCGAGGGGCACCAGAGGCUGGGUCUAAUUAGUUGAGAAGCAGUGACAACCCCAACCACUCACCAAACAGGCUGGUUCCCAUCUCCAGGCCCCAAGGAGCCACACCUGGACCAGAUCCCAGGAAAGGCAACGGCACUGACUGGUGGGAGCCACCCCUGCCAUGCUAAUGUUGGAGAAGCAAGAACUCUGCAGAAGCAGCCUCCUGGGACCAGAAGAGGGCCAGCAGCGGGCAGCUCAGACAGAACUGUGAGCCCACCGCCCCUCCACCCCUCCGGCACCCACAUCCACUCCCCACCCCAGCCCACCUGCAGGCGGCUCCUGGAGUAACCUGGGUCCCUCAGGAUAAACUCCCCACCCCAACUUCAGAAUGACCAAGAAACCGGGCCUCAGGAUGACGAGAAGCAGAAUGGGCGUUGCUCACCCACGCCUCCCCAAGCCUCCCGACAGAAGACAGAGGUCCCCCACAGCCCAGAGACAUUUCCUGAAGACAUGGGGAGCACAGAGGUGGAAACAGCCCAUCCACCCAGGAGCGGCCCCCAACGCUGCCGGCAGCCAGCACCCAGAGCCAUCAGGCGCAGUGGGAGCCGUGGAGAGUGGAGUAGACCAGCUGUCCGUGAUCCCCAAAGGAGUCCAAUGUUGGAAUCACUCCCCAGCCAAAUGCAGGAUUUUUAAAAAUCUAUUUAUUUAUUUGUGUAGAGACCAGGCGAUGAGACUGGCUAAUUUUUUGUAUUUUUUGAUAGAGACAGGAUUUCAUCGUGUUGCCCAGGCUGGUCUUGAACUCCUGGGCUCAAGCGAUCCACUGUCCUCAGCUUCCCAAAGUGCUCGGGAUUACAGGCGUGAGUCACAGUGCCCAGCCACCAAAUGCAGUUGA
rnacentral:lncRNA from 1 species